rnacentral:rRNA from 1 species
GACGAACGCUGGCGGCGUGCUUAACACAUGCAAGUCGAACGAUGAAACCGGAGCUUGCUCCGGCGGAGUAGUGGCGAACGGGUGAGUAACACGUGAGUAACCUGCCCUUGACUCUGGGAUAACUGCGGGAAACUGUAGCUAAUACCGGAUACGACCCUCGGCGGCAUCGCCAGGGGGUGGAAAUAAUUUCGGUCAAUGGAUGGACUCGCGGGCUAUCAGCUAGUUGGGGGGGUAACGGCUCCCCAAGGCGACGACGGGUAGCCGGCCUGGGAGGGUAACCGGCCCCACGGGGACUGCGACACGGCCCAGAAUCCUACGGGCGGCAGCAGUGGGAAAUAUUGCACAAUGGGCGCGAGCCUGAUGCAGCAACGCCGCGUGAGGGAUGCCGGCUUUCGGGUUGUAAACCUCUUUUAGUAGGGAAGAAGCGAAAGUGACGGUACCUGCAGAAAAAGCACCGGCUAACUACGUGCCAGCCGCCGCCGUAA